rnacentral:lncRNA from 1 species
AAUGACCAAUUUGCUUGAAAUAGGGGCAACAUAUCCAUACUUUAAAGUACCAUGGAUGAACUCAUGGUCAUCUAAUGGUAGGUUUGAAGUAUGAAAGGUUUUUACCAACCCUAAAUCAAGCAUAUCAUGACUUAAGUAGUUUUCAUUAGUCCUUCACUUCAAUACCUCAUAAGUCCAUAAAUAAAUGCUCAAAUUAAAUAAAUAAGGUCACCAUUAAAUUCUAGAGACAAAA